rnacentral:snoRNA from 1 species
AUAUGGUUGUGAUGGUUUGUUUUACAGCUAAUUAUGCCAGUUCUGCUUCUGAAAAUCCUUGAUUGAUAAAGCUGUUUCAUAUCUGAGCCUCCU